GGUGACCGACCUUCGGGAGCCAUUACAGGUGUUGCAUGGCUGUCGUCAGCUCGUGUCGUGAGAUGUUCGGUUAAGUCCGCUAACGAGCGCAACCCUCGCUGUGUGUUAUAUGUGUCACACAGGACUGCUGGUAUUAAGCCGGAGGAAGGUGGGGACGACGUCAAGUCAGCAUGACCUUUAUAUCCAGGGCUACACACACGCUACAAUGGUCAGUACAAUGGUUGCCAAGCCGCGAGGCGGAGCCAAUCCUAAAAAAGCUGGCCUCAGUUCAGAUUGCAGUCUGAAACUCGACUGCAUGAAGUCGGAGUUGCUAGUAAACGCAGGUCAGCUAUACUGCGUUGAAUACGUUCCCGGGGCUU
rnacentral:rRNA from 1 species